rnacentral:rRNA from 1 species
AGAGUUUGAUCCUGGCUCAGGACGAACGCUGGCGGCGUGCUUAACACAUGCAAGUCGAACGAUGAAGCCCUUCGGGGUGGAUUAGUGGCGAACGGGUGAGUAACACGUGGGCAACCUGCCCUCCACUCUGGGAUAACUCCGGGAAACCGGGGCUAAUACUGGAUAUGACCUCCUGCCGCAUGGUGGGUGGUGGAAAGUUUUUCGGUGGAGGAUGGGCCCGCGGCCUAUCAGCUUGUUGGUGGGGUGAUGGCCUACCAAGGCGGUGACGGUAGCCGGCCUGAGAGGCGACCGGCCACACUGGGACUGAGACACGGCCCAGACUCCUGCGGGAGGCAGCAGUGGGGAAUAUUGCACAAUGGGCGAAAGCCUGAUGCAGCGACGCCGCGUGAGGGAUGACGGCCUUCGGGUUGUAAACCUCUUUCAGCAGGGACCAAGGGUGACUGAGUGUACCUGCAGAAGAAGCACCGGCUAACUACGUGCCAGCAGCCGCGGUAAUACGUAGGGUGCGAGCGUUGUCCGGAUUUAUUGGGCGUAAAGGGCUCGUAGGCGGCCUGUCGCGUCGGGAGUGAAAGCCCACUGCUUAACGGUGGGUCUGCUUCCGGUACGGGCGGGCUAGAGUACGGCAGGGGAGACUGGAAUUCCUGGUGUAGCGGUGGAAUGCGCAGAUAUCAGGAGGAACACCGGUGGCGAAGGCGGGUCUCUGGGCCAUUACUGACGCUGAGGAGCGAAAGCGUGGGGAGCGAACAGGAUUAGAUACCCUAGUAGUCC